rnacentral:rRNA from 1 species
AAAUUGAAGAGUUUGAUCAUGGCUCAGAUUGAACGCUGGCGGCAGGCCUAACACAUGCAAGUCGAACGGUAACAGAAAACAGCUUGCUGUUUUGCUGACGAGUGGCGGACGGGUGAGUAAUGUCUGGGAAACUGCCUGAUGGAGGGGGAUAACUACUGGAAACGGUAGCUAAUACCGCAUAACGUCGCAAGACCAAAGAGGGGGACCUUCGGGCCUCUUG